GGAGCUUUUGUUGUCCAGUACAGCUCAGAUAGAGGAUAGAACGACAUUGUACAAAGCAUCUUCCAAUGACAACAGUUCCCGCACGAUCUUCUAUGCACGAAGCUCUGCAUUAGGCUAUAAUUGGACAAAGUAUUGACAUGCGAAUCACAGAGCAGUGAGUUGGCUAAUGGCUUCCUGUCUGUGUUUCCUCUCUGCAUGGAGGGAAUCGUGCAAAACCACACCGGCCCAUGGCUGUCUUCACUAUGUUAUUGCAUGGCACGCAAUGCAAUCUAAUCUGCUGCUGCAGGCCUACUAACCUGCCUGCUAAAUAAUAAACACCACUGGACAGCAGCCUGCAAGGCCACGUAUAAUCCAGGUAGCACAGCUCUCUAAAGAGAAUUCAGGCUGGAUUACUGCCUCAUCCUCAAAGUCAAAAACCAAAAGCUCUGAAAGCCGACAGAGCACUUGAUUAGGAGAGCUGAGGAGCCUGAGGGAGGCCUUCUUCUCCUGCUGACCCCUUGGAUGUGUCAUUGCUGAUUAAUCUACAAAUUGUUUGACAGGCCACCCCUCUUUCAUCAGACAAAUGCUGUGAGCUCUAUCCUGUGCCACGCUCCCCCACUCACCCCCAGAUCUCCAGUGAAUGUUUCAGUCAUGCUGAUGUGAACUGCGGCAGGACAGAGGACGUGCAUAGAGUUAUACUGUAGUGUUUAUAGUGUUUGCAAACUGCAAGGUUUGAUCUGGUUUACUUUUGAAUCAGCUACUGUUACAUGUAGAAGCAUUAAAAUAUCCUCAUGCAGUUCAUUGAAGCGCCUUUUUUAAUCCAAUAAUUGUUUGUAGAAAGAAAUGCUUGAAUACAUUUUGAAAGUUAAUAUUGAGUAACUUGCAUUUUAGACAUAACAUUGCCAGUUAGUUUGUCCAUUUAUGCUCC
ensembl:lncRNA